UUUAAAAAACAAUUAACUGUU
ensembl:piRNA 21ur-9769 ncRNA